AGCGGAUGACAGGAGCUUGCUCCUUGAUUUAGCGGCGGACGGGUGAAUAAUGCCUAAGAAUCUGCCUGGUAGUGGGGGAUAACGUCCGGAAACGGGCGCUAAUACCGCAUACGUCCUACGGGAGAAAGCAGGGGACCUUCGGGCCUUGCGCUAUCACAUGAUCCUAUGUCGGAUUACCUAAUUGGUGAGGUAAUGGCUCACCAAGGCGACGAUCCGUAACUGGUCUGAUAGGAUGAUCAGUCACACUGGAACUGAGACACGGUCCAGACUCCUACAGGAGGCAGCAAUGGGGAAUAUUGGACAAUGGGCGAAAGCCUGAUCCACCCAUGCCGCGUGUGUGAAGAAGGUCUUCAGAUUGUAAAGCACUUUAAGUUGGGAGGAAGGGUUGUAAAUUAAUACUCUGCAAUUUUGACGUUACCAACGUAAUAAGCACCGGCUAACUUCGUGCCAUCAUCCGCGGUAAUACGAAGGGUGCAAGCGUUAAUCGGAAUUACUGAAUUACUGGCGCGCGUCGUGGUUCGUUAAGUUGGAUGUGAAAGCCCCGGGCUCAACCUGGGAACUGCAUCCAAAACUGGCGAGCUAGAGUACGGUAGAGGGUG
rnacentral:rRNA from 1 species